AGUAACUGCGAGUGAAGCGGGAAAAGCUCAAAUUUAAAAUCUGGCGGCCUCUGGUCGUCCGAGUUGUAAUUUAGAGAAGCGUCUUCCGCGCUGGACCGUGCACAAGUCUCCUGGAAUGGAGCGUCAUAGAGGGUGAGAAUCCCGUCUUUGGCACGGAUGCACCAGGGCUUUUGUGAUGCGCUCUCGAAGAGUCGAGUUGUUUGGGAAUGCAGCUCAAAAUGGGUGGUGAACUCCAUCUAAAGCUAAAUAUUGGCGAGAGACCGAUAGCGAACAAGUACCGUGAGGGAAAGAUGAAAAGCACUUUGGAAAGAGAGUGAAACAGUACGUGAAAUUGUUGAAAGGGAAACGCUUGAAGUCAGUCGCGUCGACCGAGACUCAGCCUUGCCUUGGCUCGGUGUAYUUCUCGGUCGACGGGUCAGCAUCAAUUUUGCCCCUCGGAUAAUGGCGAGAGAAAGGUGGCACCCUCACCGGUGUGUUAUAGUCUCCCGUCGGAUGCGAGGGUCGGG
rnacentral:rRNA from 1 species